rnacentral:misc_RNA from 1 species
AUCCGGUCCGCCGCUGCCGAGCCCCUGAUAAUAAGCAAAGCACCAACUCAUUUGAGUCUACUGAAGACUUUGAGACUGCUUUUUGGUGAUAGUAUGGGAACAGGCCAAGUUCAAACUCCUUUUUCUUAAAGCUUGAUAGGGUAGAAAAGGCUUAUGAUACAUCUGGGUUGGGAUCCACGUUCAGUUCUGGCAAAGAUCUAGUUAAGUGGAUGGUCUGGAUGAGAGUUUUGAUACGUUAUCAGAUGGGAUGGAUGGUAAGUUGAAGGAAGAAGCCAGAUAUUUUGAGUUUGAUCUUGAUGAAGUAGAGAAAGAUCAUUAUGCUUGCAGAGCAGAUAUGACCUUUUGGCCA